rnacentral:misc_RNA from 1 species
CUUUGAUCGUGACCGCUAGAUAACAUACACACAAAGGAAAAACACAUUACACUCUCAAAAUUCUGAUCAUAGUCACAUACUUCCUCUUUUUUUACACAUCGUAUUCGCACCCAUCGCGAUUCUGCACCACUGCUGCCUCAUUUGCUUGGACUUUUCUCAUCAGCAAGACUUCUGCUGGAUAGCGGGUGGCGGGCAAAUGCUGCGGAAUACCCUUGUACGCCGCGCCAAUGCGCAGGUGGCAAAGUCGACAGCGAAGGUGUCUAGCGCGUCCGCCCAGCGAGUCGCGAAGAAGCCACCAUCAAAGGUGAAGUACUACAUGGGUAUCGCCUACGAGGGCCUGCGCCACGUGUAUCAUGGGUUUCGGCUUUUCUUCAUCAACACACGCUUGGCCUGGAAGUACUCGCGUCAGCUGAAGAAAGGUGUCGCUCUCACGAGACGCGAGCGACUUCUCUUGGAGAGCUCAACUAAGGAUCUAUUGCGGCUGGUGCCGUUUAGCUUCUUCAUUGUGGUUCCUUUUGCCGAACUUCUUUUGCCGGUCGCGUUAAAGAUGUUUCCUGGGCUUAUUCCGUCGACCUUCGAGUCGGAGUCCCAGGGGCGCAACCGCCUGUACGGCGACGCGAUGAAGACACUGCGUGCUCGUCAGCGCGCGAUGGACUACCUGUCUGCCACAGCGUUGGCCACGUUUGACAAGGAGCAGCAGGAGGUGAUCCGACGUGCCGUUAUGGGCGACUCAAUCGCCCCCAAAGACAUCCGUCUGGUGGCGCCGUACUUUGGCCGUGAUGGGCCGUUUAGUGUAUUCAAGGUUCCGGACAACAUCGUAGUUGGUCUCGGUCGGUCUGUUGGGGUCUACAAAUGGUAUCACUCCCUCCUCCCCACACGCGUGUUGUCUCCUAUUAUGCGGCGCUCGAUCAUCCGCCGAUACCACGAGGCUCGCGAGGAUGACCGGCUCAUCCGCCUGGAGGGGCUUGACGGCAUGAACAACGACGAGCUUGUCAAGGCCAACCAAACACGCGGCAUGCGGUGGACAGAGGGAACUGAGACGCUCCGAGUACAGCUGGAGUGGUGGAACUCUCUGGCGCAGGAUGACAGUGUUCCAUACAACACGCUCUGGUGGAUCAAGCCGACUCGGUAUAGCAUUCGUAAGUCCAUGAACAACUUGCCAGUCGAGCAGCGGCGGCAGCUUUUAGGUAUCCAGAAUCUGCCAGAGACGGUUCGUGCGAGUCUCGAAACGUUAUGUGAGACUGUCGACACGAUGUCUUCCAUUAGCGACGAGCCAAACAGCGCAGACAAGCUUGUAGAGAAGAUUGAAAAGAUCACCUCUUCUGCUGAGAAGAGCGACUCUGACAUUGGCUUCGAGGGUCUGCAGGAAGCCGUCGGGGCCUACCUGACGGAAGAAAACGUGAAGAGGAUGUUCGAAAAGUUGAGCAAGAAGAAGCUUCCUGAGGAGAGCGUGGUGGUCUCGGAUGUCAUCGAGUGCAUCGGUCAAGAGACGCACAACUCUAGCCACGUUGUGUCGACAGUGUUUGACGCAUUCGACUACGGCGCCGGCUCAAAGCCCAUCACUGAGAAGGCUCUUUUGGGUAUCGGCGCACGUUGCCGAAAGGCUGUGAGGCCGCCGCCCGCGCCGAAGGCAGCAGAGGAAAAACCAAAGAGUACAUCCACGGAGGAAAAGUCCAUAGAGGCGGCACCGCCUGGCAAGAGGUGAUUACAUGCACGCACUAUCCUUGGAGGAAUCACCUAUAUUAAGCAAAAGAACAAGAACGAAUAAAAGCACCAUCUGCUGCUUCUCUUCGCUUUGUUGUCUUUUAGCUCCUCUACCAAAUGGCUACCGCAUCACACCAGCUCGACCCACUUAAUCUCAUGUGAUAACAUAUCGGUGUGCUCUUUCGUGCGCUCUUUUCGUAGAGCCCCUUCUCCCCUCUCAGCCGCAGUAAGAUAAACGGGGAAAGGCCGAAGACUGGGAAUUCAAAAGACUUUGUUACUUUGCUGUGCUCCUCUUUUCUCGCCCUUCUUUUUUCGCUAUUGCUCCUUUUGCGUCACCCAUGCCUUGCUUCCCCCUUUCCUCCUUUCCUUUGCUGUCUAUAGUUGUGGAUGACAUUGAUGUGAUUGCUGUGAUGUGUGCUUGUGUCUGUGAAUACUUACGAGAGCGUCAUGUAUACACUCCGUCCAACACACCUUUUCUUUUUUUCUUCGAGAGGGAGAGGGAAGAGUCCGAGCACGUGCCCGCGCGCACCGUGGCGCCGCUCGAUUUUGUGUUUUUGUGUACGCGACGUCUGCGGUUCUGGGAGCCACAGACAGCGUGUCGGGCGAGAACAGGGUGACUGUCAGCUGUCGUAAGGGAGUGCUGCGAACUAUCUAUGUCGGUUGCACAGCUGUGGUGUUUCUUGAAUGCGACAGCGGUGAGGAGGUUUCACUUUUGCAGUCCCUACAAGCAUGCCUUGCUGCCCGUCGCGCGUCCAGAAGAAAAAGGCGCUUUGCGCGCUGCAGCAUCUUCCCUCUUGCUCUACCUCUUUCCCUCUUCAAGCCGAAGCUCGGCGGAAUGAGAGCGUUGCGCUUGCUGCUGUUGCGUUGCCAUUGCCGCCAGAUGUGUGGCCCCCCUUUUCGGCCCUCUUUGUGCUCAUUCACCUCCCCCUUCGCGACGGUUGUCGACUGAGUCUGAGCGGACUUGAGCAGCGGUGCCGAAACGGAGACGCGCUCGGAAACUGUGCUGACGGUGAAGUAUCUCGGCACGACGUGUGGUGAAUGCAUGUGUGAUGCCACCACUCCUUGGCCUACCGUUUUCAUCCUUGCUUGCGUUGUGCCUUGGCUUCACUACGCUGCACGUCGCGUACACGUCGCAACCGUCAUGAGACGUCUUCUUUCGCACUCUUCUUUGAGAAAUAGAUGAUGAGGAAUGAGGAUUUUGAAUUGCGACCACUCCUCUCUACAGCCUUAUCUUCUUUUCUGGCGCCUUCUUUGACGUGCUGGGGGAAGGCUAUGGAGCUCAUCCCCUCAACCCCUCUCCUAAACCCCCUUUCUCACUUUCACUAUAAACGCAGUGUUUUGGGUUGCUUUGUGCUGGGUGAGCCUCAGAACAUAGCAAGGAAAAAAGAGCAGAGAUCGAGUGCAGCGCCUCGCUUCUGCUCUCAAGUGCGCGUGUCUUCCCACCUCAUCCUUCGUCCUUGCUGUUGCUCUCCGUUUCUGCGCUCCUAUGGGCAGCUGUAAAGCUAUCUUGCCCCUUCUUCUGUCGCUUUGGUCGAGGUGGAAAGGAGAACGACAGAGAGAGGGACGAUGCACAAAGGAGCAGAGGGCGCCGCACAGAAGGCGCGACAAAGAGCACCGUCUUUCAUUGGCGUGCCGCCUGGUGCGCAUCAUGUUGCGUGUUUCACUUUAACAUAUCUCUUUGU